CGUGGUCCCACCUGACCCCAUGCCGAACUCAGAAGUGAAACGCCGUAGCGCCGAUGGUAGUGUGGGGUUUCCCCAUGCGAGAGUAGGGAACUGCCA
rnacentral:rRNA from 1 species